GGCCUGCCAAAGUGCUGGGAUUACAGGCGUGAGCCACCGCACCCGGCCUAUGUAAAAGCCUUUUAUAGUUUAGAGCGCACUUUCAGACCUAUUAUCUUAUUUGAUUCCCGUGGCAACUUAAUAAGGUAGAAAGAGAGUAAGCAUCAUCAUCUACAUUUUACAGUUACAGGGAUCACCUGUGUAUUUGCUGGUGGCUGUCUAAUAAAAGAUGUGGGUGUGGAGGAAAUAGAUUUUUAAUCAUCUGAAUGUUAUAGAGUUUCUUCUUAGGUAUGAAGAGAAUCUAUUAUCUUGAUUAGAUAUAAAUUCAAAACAAAUGUUGAAUACCGGCUGUUGUAUUCUCAACAUUUUAGAAUUCAACUUUAAAUGAAAUCUUCAAAAAAGCAAGUCCAAGAAAAACCUCAUAGUAAUAUUUGUGUCUCAUUCACUACCAUCACCAAAUGAUAUUGAUUGCAGUACCUGAAGAAAUCAUUAGGCACCAUAUGACACUGAUGUCUAUUUAGAGUGUUUUUUAUUCUGUAUUGGAAAAUAAAGCACAUUACCUAAAUGAUUCAAAUGGCAAGAAAAAAAUUUAUCCCUAAAAGCCAUCUGUGAAUUAGCAUAUGGGCUUCUGGAACCCAACAUCUUGAUUCUAUAUGUGAGUCAGGAGGAAAAAAAACAACAAAAAAAGAAUGAAAGGAAGAAAA
ensembl:lncRNA novel transcript